AUAAAGGAGCAAAGAGGGAGGGGAGCGCAUUUUGGAAGUGCUUUUCCAGUUCCAGGCUGGGCCAAUGUGGAAAAGAAUAACACUAACAAAAUCAAGGGAAACGUAGUAUAUGAGGCACAUCGGACAUUUCAGCUCAUGGAGAACACCUUCAAUCAAGGAGUGACUGCACAGCAUGUGGAAGUGAAUGGCCAAGGCUUGGAACAAGGAAAGACUGAAAUGCUUUCAGGACUUCUCAGCUGUAUAAUGAGGAUCAUCUUGUUUGGGAUAUGACCACGGAGUAACAACAGGGUCAUGCUUUCUCUGUCGGAUUCCUGUCUCAAAGGAGAUCCAGUCUCACACUUCAACAGAGCACUAAUGUUCAAAGUGUGAAAAUGACAGCAAAGGCACAUCCUCAUACAAUCAACAUGCUAAGCCCAUCUGAACAGAGGAGAGCAGGGUACAGAAUCAAGACUCUACAUUAAAAUAUGCAUCAAACUCCUGACGAAAAACAAAUAAAGAAGUUACAAACACAGCCCAUAAAGGAGAAUGAUGAGAAAGGAAAAGUCAGAUUAGGGCCAUCUCCACUCAUGGGAACACAUGAAGAGAGUCGGCAACUGCAAGCUGCACACUUUCCUCCAGAAAGAAAGGCUUGAUUUUCAGAAGUACUUUUGAGGACAGAAUUUUCUGCUUCCCACUGGGAAGAAGAUCAUUUUUUUAAAGCUUAGCCUUACCAGAAAGUCAGGAUGAAUACUGGAAUGUGGUUUAACAUUGUACCCUCUGAGGAAAUGUUUAUCCCCACUAACUGGGGGUAAUUAGAAAGAAAGAUGGCGUUGCCUGUGGAACUUACUUAAAAACGUAUCUUUGGCAUUGUAUGGUGUAUUGGCAGCAAUAAAGCAGAAGGGAAU
rnacentral:lncRNA from 7 species